UACAGAGGGUGCGAGCGUUGUCCGGAAUCACUGGGCGUAAAGGGCGCGUAGGCGGCCUGAUAAGUAGGGGGUGAAAUCCUGUGGCUUAACUGCAGGGCUGCCUCUUAGACUGUUAGGCUCGAGCACGGUAGAGGCAGAUGGAAUUCCCGGUGUAGCGGUGGAAUGCGUAGAGAUCGGGAAGAACAUCGGUGGCGAAGGCGGUCUGCUGGGCCGUUGCUGACGCUGAGGCGCGACAGCGUGGGGAGCAAACAGG
rnacentral:rRNA from 1 species